CGCGGCCGAGAGAGGAAGUAGAUCCCCGCCUGGGAGGAGCCCGCAGACCUGGAACUACGAGUCCCGGCGAGCACUGCGAAGGCCACGCGCGGCUUUCUUUCUUCUCCAAGCACGGUGGCAGUCUUCUGAUCUCUGCUGCUUUUUUUUCCUCAUAAAAACAUGAGACAUAGACAAGAAGAGAAGAUGAUAUGAAAAUGGAGGCAAAGAUUGGAGUGAUGUGGCCACAAGCCAAGGAAACCAGCAACCACCAGAAGCUGAAAGAGGCAAAGAAGAAUUCUGCCUCCCAGCCUCCAGAGGGAGUGUGACCCUGCUAACACCAUGAUUCAGACUUCCGGCCUCCAGAAGAAUGUCUUUUUAAGCCACUACGUUUGUGGUAAUUUGUUAUAGCAGCCCUGGGAAACUAAUACAGUUGUUAAUUAAAAAAACAAGUCAA
rnacentral:lncRNA from 1 species